rnacentral:rRNA from 1 species
CCUACGGGAGGCAGCAGUGGGGAAUAUUGGGCAAUGGGCGCAAGCCUGACCCAGCAACGCCGCGUGAAGGAAGAAGGCUUUCGGGUUGUAAACUUCUUUUGUCAGGGACGAAGCAAGUGACGGUACCUGACGAAUCAGCCACGGCUAACUACGUGCCAGCCGCCGCGGUAAUACGUAGGUGGCAAGCGUUAUCCGGAUUUACUGGGUGUAAAGGGCGAGUAGGCGGGACUGCAAGUCAGAUGUGAAAACCACGGGCUCAACCUGUGGCCUGCAUUUGAAACUGUAGUUCUGGAGUACUGGAGAGGCAGACGGAAUUCCUAGUGUAGCGGUGAAAUGCGUAGAUAUUAGGAGGAACACCAGUGGCGAAGGCGACUAUCUGGCACAUAACUGACGCUGAGGAGCGAAAGCGUGGGUAGCAAACAGGAUUAGAUACCCCGGUAGUC